ACUCCUACGGGAGCGAGCAGUGGGGGAAUAUUGGACAAGGGGGAACCCUGAUCCAGCCAUGCCGCGUGUGUGAAGAAGGCCUUUUGGUUGUAAAGCACUUUAAGCGAGGAGGAGGCUUACCUGGUUAAUACCUGGGAUAAGUGGACAUUACUCACAGAAUAAGCACCGGCUAACUCUGUGCCAGCAGCCGCGGUAAUACAGAGGGUGCAAGCGUUAAUCGGAUUUACUGGGCGUAAAGCGCGCGUAGGUGGCUAAUUAAGUCAAAUGUGAAAUCCCCGAGCUUAACUUGGGAAUUGCAUUCGAUACUGGUUAGCUAGAGUAUGGGAGAGGAUGGUAGAAAUUCCAGGUGUAGCGGUGAAAUGCGUAGAGAUCUGGAGGAAUACCGAUGGCGAAGGCAGCCAUCUGGCCUAAUACUGACACUGAGGUGCGAAAGCAUGGGGAGCAAACAGGAUUAGAUACCCUGGUAG
rnacentral:rRNA from 1 species